rnacentral:rRNA from 1 species
UGAAGCAAUUGUGACUGAGCGGCGGACGGGUGAGUAACGCAUGGGUAACCUGCCUCAUACAGGGGGAUAACAGUUGGAAACGGCUGCUAAUACCGCAUAAGCGCACAGUACCGCAUGGUACCGUGUGAAAAACUCCGGUGGUAUGAGAUGGACCCGCGUCUGAUUAGCUAGUUGGUGGGGUAACGGCCUACCAAGGCGACGAUCAGUAGCCGACCUGAGAGGGUGACCGGCCACAUUGGGACUGAGACACGGCCCAAACUCCUACGGGAGGCAGCAGUGGGGAAUAUUGCACAAUGGGGGAAACCCUGAUGCAGCGACGCCGCGUGAGCGAUGAAGUAUUUCGGUAUGUAAAGCUCUAUCAGCAGGGAAGAAAAUGACGGUACCUGACUAAGAAGCCCCGGCUAACUACGUGCCAGCAGCCGCGGUAAUACGUAGGGGGCAAGCGUUAUCCGGAUUUACUGGGUGUAAAGGGAGCGUAGACGGCAUGGCAAGCCAGAUGUGAAAGCCCGGGGCUUAACCCCGGGACUGCAUUUGGAACUGUCAGGCUAGAGUGUCGGAGAGGAAAGCGGAAUUCCUAGUGUAGCGGUGAAAUGCGUAGAUAUUAGGAGGAACACCAGUGGCGAAGGCGGCUUUCUGGACGAUGACUGACGUUGAGGCUCG